rnacentral:rRNA from 1 species
UACGUAGGGGGCUAGCGUUGUCCGGAAUCAUUGGGCGUAAAGCGCGUGUAGGCGGUUCGGUAAGUCCGCUGUGAAAGUCGGGGGCUCAACCCUCGGAUGCCGGUGGAUACUGUCGGGCUUGAGUACGGAAGAGGCGAGUGGAAUUCCUGGUGUAGCGGUGAAAUGCGCAGAGUAUCAAGGAGGAACACCAAUUGCGAAGGCAG